CCCAGGCAGUGAAAGCACCAAGUCCUAACCACUGGACCGCCAGGGAGUUCCCUCAGAGGCUUCGGUUUCUCAUCAAAGGGGGAGAUGGCGAGCCUGUGUCCAAGCCCAUCCCCACGACCCAUCCUCCCGCCCCUGCCCCAGAGGUCGGAGCCCUACCCUGCUGGGCGUCAGCCGGCGACAGGAGCAGGGUGCUGAGCAGAAGGGUCUCCAGGGUCCCCAUGGCACGGAGGAUCCAGCCAGUCCAGGUUGCCAAGGGCUUGGUGGAGGCCAGGUGGAGUUAGGCUCUGGGACUAUGGGGGAAACCAGAGUGUGGAAAUAAAUCAGUGUCCAGGGCUUCACUGGUGGCACAGUGGUCAAGAAUCCGCCUGCCCAUGCAGAGGACAUGGGUUCGAGCCCUGGUCCGGGAAGAUCCCACAUGCCACGGAGCAA